GUAGGUGGCGAGCGUUGUCCCGGAAAUUAUUGGGCGUAAAAGCGCGCGCAGGGCGGUCCUUUUAAGUCUGAUGUGAAAAGCCCACGGCUCAACCGUGGAGGGUCAUUGGAAACUGGGGGGACUUGAGUACAGAAGAGGAAAGCGGAAUUCCAAGUGUAGCGGUGAAAUGCGUAGAGAUUUGGAGGAACACCAGUGGCGAAGGCGGCUUUCUGGUCUGUAACUGACGCUGAGGCGCGAAAGCGUGGGGAGCAAACAGGAUUAGAUACCCUGGUAGUCCACGCCGUAAACGAUGAGUGCUAAGUGUUAGGGGGUUUCCGCCCCUUAGUGCUGCAGCUAACGCAUUAAGCACUCCGCCUGGGGAGUACGGCCGCAAGGCUG
rnacentral:rRNA from 1 species